rnacentral:rRNA from 1 species
AACUAUACCGUGAAAACUGCGAAUGGCUCAUUAAAUCAGUUAUCGUUUAUUUGAUAGUACCUACUUACUUGGAUAACCGUGGUAAUUCUAGAGCUAAUACAUGCUAAAAACCUCAACUUCGGAAGGGGUGUAUUUAUUAGAUAAAAAACCAAUGCCCUUCGGGGCUCCCUGGUGAUUCAUAAUAACUAAACGAAUCGCAUGGCCUUGCGCCGGCGAUGGUUCAUUCAAAUUUCUGCCCUAUCAACUUUCGAUGGUAGGAUAGUGGCCUACCAUGGUGGCAACGGGUAACGGGGAAUUAGGGUUCUAUUCCGGAGAGGGAGCCUGAGAAACGGCUACCACAUCCAAGGAAGGCAGCAGGCGCGCAAAUUACCCAAUCCCGACACGGGGAGGUAGUGACAAUAAAUACUGAUGUGGAGCUCUUUAGGGUUUCACAAUUGGAAUGAGAAAAAUCUAAACCACUUAAACGAGGAACAAUUGGAGGGCAAGUCUGGUGCCAGCAGCCGCGGUAAUUCCAGCUCCAAUAGCGUAUAUUAAAGUUGUUGCAGUUAAAAAGCUCGUAGUUGAACCUUGGGCCUGGCCGGCCGGUCCGCCUCACCGCGUGCACUGGUUCGGCCGGGCCUUUCCUCCUGGGGAACCGCAUGCCCUUUACUGGGUGUGCCGGGGAAUCAGGACUUUUACUUUGAAAAAAUUAGAGUGUUCAAAGCAGGCAUUUGCUCGAAUACAUUAGCAUGGAAUAAUAGAAUAGGACGUUGUGGUUCUAUUUUGUUGGUUUCUAGGACCGCCGUAAUG